UAUUGUUAGCUAAAAUAGAUCUAACUUUUUAUCUUAUGAAAUCGUGAGAAAAAAUUUAGAAGACUAGUUAACAAAUUAAAAUUGAGUGGGAUUACUGUCCACAAUAAACCUAACAGUAAGAGAUUCAAUAAUAGAUCCAACGUUCAUAAGGAUUGAGUUAGGUCGAAGUCCAAAAGUACUGUAGCGGAGUUCGUAAAUGCGAUGAAUAUGUCAUUUUCAUCAAAUUGUAUUUCUUGAAUAAUUAAUUAGCACUUACGAUCCAUACACAUACACACAUACACAUAUAUAUAGAGUUGAACUGGAAUACUAUCGGUAGCAAACAGGCUCCGUUGCCACCAAUUUAUUUUCGAUGAUGGAGCCUCCAAAUCGACGAUCUGUACCUUUGAACAUGAUUUAUACCAUUUGAAGCAUGUAGAAACCGAAUUUCAUAUUUUUCCAAUAUUGUUCUCUCGUCCAUCAAGUGGACACAAAAAUGAAUGGCUGAAAAAUGAAUAUCCUUUAAAAAGUGAUGAUAGGAGUUUCGUAAUCAAGAUCAAGAGUAUAGAUCUUGUUUUAAAUAGUUCAAAAAAUUUUCUAAUAAAAAUUUAAUUGAUUUGGAUAGCUUUACACCAUUAAAUGAGAAAACGUCUCGUAUCGAUUAUUAAAAUUACAGAUUUUGAAAUUUUUUGAUCACUAGGCCAAUAUUGUAAAAAAUUUGAAAUUUAAUUUCUACACACUUCAAAUGGUAUAGAUCACGAUCAUUAAAAUUACAGAUUUUGAAAUCUUUUAAUCAUUAGGCCAAUAUUGUCGAAAAAAUUUGAAAUUUGAUUUCUACACACUUCAAAUGGUAUAGAUCAUAUUCAAUAAUACCGAUCAUCGAUUUGAAAACUUCAUCAUCGAAAACAAAUGAAUGACAACUGUUUAUUAUCAAUAAUAUUCUAUUUCAACUCUCUCUCUCUCUCAUAUAUAUAUAUAUAUAUAUAUAUAUAUAUAUAUAUAUAUAUAUAUAUAUAUAU
rnacentral:lncRNA from 1 species